ACACCUGGCACCCCUCCUCUGCCCCAACCCCUUGCCCUGAACCCCUUCCUGCACACCGCACUCCCUUCCCCGGCCCUACGUUCAUGGCCCUGCGUACACUUUUCCCACUCAGAUGUGGCCCUCGGGCCAAAAAGUUUGCCCACCCCUGGUUUAGAUCGUGGGCUUCUUUGAAUUUUUGUUUAUUGCCAGUGGCCUCUCCGUUACUUUUACUCAAAAUAACCGUGACAAAAAUCUUAAGCUUAUAAUGAGUUAUGUGCAGGUCAUUAGGCUAAAUAGAUCUCAAAUAAUGAAUGACAGAAAGUUGGAUUUGAUGCCCUUUGAGUUGAAGCUCUUACUCCAAUACUUUGUGGGAAUAUGUUCAGAUCACAGCAACUUCCAUUCCACCCAUUGGCCACGUAGGCGGUCUCAUCAGAGCAAUGGGAGAUACAACGACAUGGGGACUGAAAUGUCCUGAAAACCCCAAUAUGUUGAAAAUGUGAACUUUGUAAUGUGGUUUCCUGUGCUAUAUCUAAUUCUGUAAAUAAAUGGUGCAUUUCCGGAUAAGAUUCUUCGCUAGUGCCAAUCAGUUUAGCUCCAGUGAAGUCAGCUCUAUUUAGGGAUAGAUCCUCUGGUAGUGUAAAUGGACCUUGCCACAUUGACUUUAGUGGAGCUAUGCUGAUCUUAGUGGCCCAUAGAACGCUACUGUGUGGAAAAGGCAUUCUGUGUAAAUCAGUUCCCAUACCACAAUUUAUAUGGAGCUAAACUUACGGAGCAACGAGUAUAUUUUAGAAGUGUUUUAUGUUUUGCUGUUUUUCAUGUAAUCACAGGAAAAUGGCAGGAAAGAAGAAAGAAGUUCAACUACAGGCAGUAUUAACCAAUCAAAGUCAAUGGGAUGAAAUGUUGCUGACUAAAGGUGUAACAGCUUGUGUUCAGAGGGCCCUGGACCUCAAAUCACCUGCCAACCAAUUUUGGAUCGAGGCGAGAGGAACACAGGAUUGGAUUGGAUGCAGAACCAGCAGUAGCUGGUGUCCUACAGUACCUGGAGUCUCCCUGUGCCCACUGGGCUGGCUUCCAGCUGGGGCUUUAUCCACACCUUCUGGGCCCACCUGACAAUUUAAGUGAGAAGGCCGGGAUGCAGCCCACAUUCACUGGACCUCAGUGGAUCGGAACACUAAACGGUUCUUGCCCGAGUCUCACUGAGUGAGCCACGCCCACCAAGCUUCCACGAUCGGAACUGACCAGGUUGAUGUAAAUAGCUCAUGAUUAGACAGCAGACAGCUGGUCUCGACCCAAGUUAUUGCAGCAACCGUUAGGUUCCGGACCUUGUAUUACUGAAGGUGGUGUCUAGCAGGAGGAACACAGAACCUGAUCGAGCAGGUGGAACAGCUCAGAACACUCCUUGAUGAUCUGCAGAUACGUGAAUAGUUGGAAUAGCCAAGACAGCGUCUGUUCAUCAUUUUAAAAAGCAACAACAAAAACCCUGUUAUUUUGUAAGUUAAGUUUGAAGAUGAAAACUGUUGUUGGAAUAUGUAAACAUGUUUGUGUGCAUGAUGUGGACCACCAUUUUAAUUUAACUUAGGCUACUGGAGAACCAGAAGAUGGUAACAGCUUUCAGUCACUAGAUUCCUAGGCUGAAUUAGAGCCAGCACGCUAGAAGUAAAUGGCUCCAUAUCCCAUUACCUUAUCCUUUCAAUCUUCUAUCUACAGAAUUUUACCUAAACCCCUCUAUUUUUGGGGGUGGGAAAGAGCUGUGAACUAUUUUAGGACCAAAUUUCUAAAAGGUAUAGGUCCACUUGCACAUGCUAAAUAUAUAUGUAUGCAUGUGAUGUAUUUAUAGGUAUGCAGUUAUGCACACAACUAGGUAGAUGGAUGUCCGACUUCCUGUUCUCAAGCAGUUACUCAGUUUGCACACAUCACUACAAUAACUGCAUAUAAAUUGUGUGCAUGCAUGUAUUGCAUGAAAUCCCACCUCUUAAAAAUAUGAGCCUUAAAGUAAAAUAAACUUUAUAACAAUGGUUUACAGAUUAGAAUAGUAGAUUGGGCUCAGCUUCCUAUUGUUCAGGAACUUGGUUUCAAUAAUUUAGUUUAACUAGCAGUUCUUAAACAUAUUCCUCAUCAUAUAUACAAUAUCCUAUGUCAGUGGUUUCAAACUUUUUCAUUUGCAGACCCCUAAAAUGCUUUCAGAUAAACUCCAAACUUUUACUAAAAACUAGUUAAAGCAUUCCUGGAAUGCAGAAAGUAAUAGACAGAUAAACUCUAAUAUUAUAUUGAAUAAGUUACAGUCCAGAAUCAGAAAAAGACUUUCCUUCCAUUCCUUUUAAAUAUACAUUUAAAAAAUUUUAAAAUAGUAAAAAAUGUACAACUGACAGAAUUUCAAAUCAAAUUUGCAGAACUGACAACUUUGAUAUACAGUACACUAAAAAGACUAAGAACGUUUAAUAAGCAUUAAUUACUCUGUCUUUUCACUCUCAACUUAAAUUAAUGUUCCAGUAUAUAUUAUUAAUAUUUCAAUAGAAGCUUUGUACAGGUAUGCUUUUUUGUUGUUACAAAAAGGAUAAUUAUACCAUUGCAUGCCUAUAGUUUCAUUGCAUUACUCAGGAAUAAUAUUAUCACUAUCUGUUGUAAUUUGUAACUGAAAUACAAAGAAGAAAUGUUACCUCUUAAUGUGUUAUUAUCCCGAUUUCUUUUCUUCCUUCUCUGUUUCAUACAUCGCAUGGUACGUUGCGUUCAAUCUCACCGUAAAAAGAAAACCACAUAUAUUAGCAGCCUUCCUGUAGGCAUACUCUCGCUUUGUCUACCAACCUACAGGAAGGAGCUACUAGUGUUAUUUUCCUAACCACACACUAAAGACUAAAAGUUUCCAAAUGCCGUAGAGUAGCAUUUUGUGUGAACUUGUGGGAGGUACAGGUCUGAGCGGGU